AGUGGAAUUUCCUGUGUAGCGGUGAAAUGCGUAGAUAUAGGAAGGAACGCCAUUGGCGAAGGCGACCCCCUGGACUGAUACUGACCCUGACGUGCGAAAGCGUGGGGAGCAAACAGGAUUAGAUACCCUGGUAGUCCACGCCGUAAACGAUGUCAACUAGCCGUUGGGAGCCUUGAGCUCUUAGUGGCGCAGCUAACGCAUUAAGUUGACCGCCUGGGGAGUACGGCCGCAAGGUUAAAACUCAAAUGAAUUGACGGGGGC
rnacentral:rRNA from 1 species